GGGGGGAUGCCCGAGUGGUUAAAGGGGACCGGCUGUAAACCGGUUGGCUCAGCCUACGCAGGUUCGAAUCCUGCUCCCCCCA
rnacentral:tRNA from 1 species